GCGUAGGGUAUGUAGACUGUGAAUGUAAGAAUUAAAGGAAAUCCUUGGGGGGUCCCCAUUGACCUUUAAUUGAAAAUUUCACUUGAAUCAGAGAGGGGCUUUGGUAUUUUUAUGGAGGGGUUAAAUAUGAGAUAUAAAAAGGACCGACAGUGGUUAAUGCAAUUUCCUGGUCUGUAUUGACGUUAAGGUACGAAAGCAUAGGGAGCAAAACAGAUUAGAGACCUGUGUAGUCUAUGCUGUCAACGCUGAGUUUUCAGUGUUAGGAAUGUGAAAUACAAGCCAUAAUUUUUUUUUAAUAAAAAAUAAAAAUUAAGCUAAGGAUGAUAAAAAUUUAUAUUUUUACUAUAAGAGGAUAGGAAAUCCUUAUUGUAAACAUAUCAAAUAUGUACAAGUAUUUCGGGCUUUCUUGGUGCUUGAGUAACGCGUUAAAUUCUCCGCUGGGUAGUAUGGCCGCAGGUUGAAACUCAAAAGAAUUGAGGUGACUUGUACGAGG
rnacentral:rRNA from 1 species